CAGAGACCUGCAGAAUCUGGCCCCUGGAAGACAGGCAGAGAGUGAGAAUGACCCAAUGGCCUACGAUGUUUUAAUAGGACCAGUUUGUGACAAACAUCACUGGACACUUGUGAAAACUUGUCAGAGCUGUGCAGAGCAUGUGGCAAUGCAUGCCAAAGUCCAGGAGGAAAUAAUGAUGGUCAUGAAG